rnacentral:lncRNA from 1 species
CUAUGGGGUCCUAUGGGGUUCUAUGGGAUCCUAUGGGGCUCUAUGGGGCCCCAAUAGGGAUCUAUGGGGCUCUAUGGAAGUGUCCGCCCCCGGAUGGGGGUCAAGGUCCCGGGGAGGGGCGUUACGCGAGGCCGAGGCUUCAGGGGGCGGAGUAGGCCGCAAUGGGGCCCUAUAGGGAUCUAUGGGGGCUCUGUGGGGCUCUAUGGGAUCCUAUGGGGUCUCUAUGGGGUCCUAUGGGGCUCUAUGGGGCCCUAUGGGAUCCUAUGGGGCUCUAUGGGGUCCUAUGGGGGUCUGUGGGGUUCUAUGGGUGUCUAUGGGAUCUAUGGGUCUCUAUGGGUCUCUAUGGGGUCUCUAUGGGUCUCUAUGGGUCUCUAUGGGUCCCUAUGUGUCUCUAUAGUUCUCUAUGGGGCUCUAUGGGGCUGUGAUGAAGGGGGGGGUGAAGCCCGGCCCACCGUGUGUUCCUAUUGGCUGCAAUGAAGGGCGAAGCCCCGCCCACAAUAAACGCUAUUGGCUGCUGCCGUGAGCGGAGGCU